AUUGAACGCUGGCGGAAUGCUUUACACAUGCAAGUCGAACGGCAGCACGGGGGCAACCCUGGUGGCGAGUGGCGAACGGGUGAGUAAUACAUCGGGACGUGCCCGGUCGUGGGGGAUAACGUAGCGAAAGUUACGCUAAUACCGCAUACGAUCUGAGGAUGAAAGCGGGGGACCUUCGGGCCUCGCGCGAUCGGAGCGGCCGAUGUCAGAUUAGGUAGUUGGUGGGGUAAAGGCCUACCAAGCCGACGAUCUGUAGCUGGUCUGAGAGGACGACCAGCCACACUGGGACUGAGACACGGCCCAGACUCCUACGGGAGGCAGCAGUGGGGAAUUUUGGACAAUGGGCGCAAGCCUGAUCCAGCCAUUCCGCGUGCAGGACGAAGGCCUUCGGGUUGUAAACUGCUUUUGUAUGGAACGAAAAGGCUCUGGCUAAUACCUGGGGCUCAUGACGGUACCGUAAGAAUAAGCACCGGCUAACUACGUG
rnacentral:rRNA from 1 species